UGAUUCUGACAUAGGUGGUCUGCAAAUGAUCAUUCCACCCCCUCUACCACACCAUCAUCUUGAUUCUGAUGUUGACAACCCUCAAAUGGUUAUUCCCCCUCCUCCACUUCAUCACAUUCGCCUUUAAAAUCGAACAUCGUUGAUAAUCCCCCAAUGGUCAUCCCACCGCCUCCCCUCUAUUAUGUUCCAUCCACAAAGUAAUGUUUAGUGAUAUUAUAACGAUAAUCCCCUACCUCCUCUAUAAAGCAACUUUUAUUGCAUCCAAUUCGAUCACAACUUUAGAUGUCUGAUUCAUUUCUUGUCACUUCCCUUGAAGUAUUGAGCAUAAUAAGCUAAUAAUAAUAAUAAUACUUACGAUUAUAAAUAUUAUAUGUCCAUGCAUAUAUAUAGUGUAUUUAGAAACAAGCUUUCACUCCCCGUUCUAAAACUUCCCUCUUUAAAAAGAUGCUGGUGUCAGCCUACUCCUUAAAACAUGCUUUGAAAACGUAAGAUUUAUAAAACACCCUUUUCAAGAGUAAAGUAUAAUAAUUUGACAGCACCUCCCAUAAAAUAUGAGGGAACAACACCUGAAAAUGUAGUCAUUUCUACUUCUAUAAAAUUUUAAACGGAAUUCAGAUACUACAUACAACUAGUGUGUCUCACCACACACAUUCAGAUCGAUUCAAAACUUCAAGUAGAAUAUAUAAGGUGUAAACUACGUAUUACAUACAUAAGUAUUCAAACAAAUUAGGGAUCUUCCAAAACACAAGUCCAUAGUGUCUCUCUAGAUGAGACUAACCACCCCGUGAUGAAUUACAAAAGUUUAAACUAUACAAAAAAAAAAAAAAAAAUUGAAGAUCUACAAGAACAACUGAGCUGAAACAAAGCUUGGUCCUGGGUUGCUACCUGGAAAGGGAGAGAAUAUGCUUAAUAAGAUGUGUAAAUACGCAUCGAUAAAUAAUGUAUUAAAUAAAACAUUAUAAUCACAUAUUUCCCAAUCAACCAGCCAACCUGUAGCCAAUCCGAUCAUGGCAAGACGUGGCAAGACGUCUAAACAUAUGGCCAAGAGUAGCACGCACAUGAUCAAGGAAUCAUGCGGUCACAACUAGGUCACACAUAUUUAGUACCCGCCACAAUAGUAACAUCCAUCUAAUUCAACCAUGAUAGCAUACUAAACACACGACCCAGAAUAGCUCACAUGUGAUCCAUAACCACAAGGAAACACGCACCCAAACGGAGCCCACACAUUAUUAGCUUACCACAAUAACAACAUGAACCCGCUCCUUUGUGUAAAAAUGGCACCCACCAUGGGUUAUAAUAGGCCCGAAGCCAUAUCUCAAUUCUCCCUCCAUAUCCUAACCUAAGCUCAGGUUCUCGGAUCUUCGGUCACGACCUCUUUUAGCCUCAGAACCUCCUGACAACCGUAGUUGACGCUACGAAAAUACAUUUAUGUUACCUACGAGUAAAAUCACCUUAGUACAUUGGUUUUGUGGUUCGAAAACCAACCUUUACAUUCCAUGUAACACUCCAAAAUUUAAGGUAUUUUUUUAAAAAAAAUAAUAAUCAAAUGGCCUUAUUAUUGAAAAUUCUUUCUUAUUAAAUUGUCGGGUGUUAUUUUAUUACUUUAGUUUGAAGAAUCUUUUAUUUGGAAUAACAGAAAAGAAACCAUGAAGAAGAAAAAAAAAAGGAUUUGGAAAGAAAAAUAAUAAUAAUAGUAUAUAUUAUUAUUAUUAUUUAAAAAAUAUAUUUUUUUUCUCUUCUUCUUUCUCACGCACGUGUGACCCCCUCCCCCAGCUCUUCUUCUUCUCUUCUUCUCUACGUGCCCUAGUCGCCGCCCACCGUCUCCUCAUCGGUGUUGUUCGAGUUCGCGUGCCACCUGUUGUCGUUGCCCAUUAAUCGAGUCGAGGUGUUCGCCGUGGGUCUGCAUCGUUUAACAAUCUGUGAAGCCAUCAUCGUGCGCGUCUUUCUACAGCCAACGACUACUCAGACAAAACUCAUCCCGAGCCGUCUUCGUUCCGUCGGAGCUGAAGCCGGAGUGCCGUUCGUCCGCGCCUUCGUCCGGCUACGUCUGCGCGGGCUUCCGUUCGUGAAGCCCCAACCUCUGCGGCUUCGUCCGGCUACGUCCGCGUCAAUCUCCGUUCGAAAGCCCAGCCGUCGCGUCAACUUGUCGAUCGGUCGUGAGGCAGCGCGCGUUUCCUCUUCGCAGCGUGUUUCCGCGAUUCAUAAACCAAGUACACUCUAGUCUGUUUGUACCAUUGUUUUUGUUUAGGGUCGAUUGCCGCUGCCCCUAUUUUACUGAGGUGUUGAAAGUAAAGUUGACUUCUUUGGAUUCACAACCAAAUUAUAGAAGUGUUGGAGUUCGAUUCUCCUUUAUCUUAUUAUAGAAGUGUUGGAGUUCGAUUCACCUUUAUCUUGGUAUUCUUCGUGGGACUUUGGUUCGGUUAAGGACCUUAGGUAACGUAUAAGUAAGGGACUUUCUACCGGACCCAUAUGUAGAUUUCAAUGAUUAAAACGAUAUGUAGAUUUCAAUGAUUAAAACGAUAUGUAGAUUUCAAUGAUUAAAACGAUUUGACUGUUAUGCAUGGACUUGAAUGACUUAAAGGAUAUGACAGCUAAGUGUAGGUUGAAAUGGUUAUAGAGACUUAAUUGCUUCGAGUAAUUUUAAGUGUGUUGAUGUUGAAAUGGUUAUAGAGACUUAAUUGCUUUGAGUAAUUUUAAGUGUGUUUCGAUUGACUAAAUUAAAAUGUUUGUUGACUGAACUAAGGAUGGUUGACUGGCAUGUUAAAAAAAUGGAUGAUGUACGUUUGACUGGAUUAACUGAACUGAGGUGAGUGACAAUUACGUAUGAGUAUAUCUAUUUGAUAAAUCGUUACGCUAAGGUUAGAUUGUGUAUUAGUAAGAGAUUUUCCACUAUCGGACUCACCUAUAAAGUAGAAUAUGUUGAUUGUAUGUUAUCCCUAAACUGAGAAUGGAUGUCAGUUAUAAUACAUAUAAUUUGAAGUGGACUUGAGAUUGAAUGUAUGUUGGGUUUGACUAGAACUAUAUAUAUACACAUGAAUGUUGAAAUGACUGCAAAGUGUGGAUGUUGCCUAUAUAAUAUGCAGAUGUGAAGUUGUCUGUCAUGUGGACCGGGUGUAAAUUAUAUCAAGUACAGCUGUGUGCUAGUGAACUGAGAGGAUGCUAUGAUUACUUAAUUUGUUCGACUUAUGUGUUGAUAUGUUACUGACUGACUUGGGCUGAAAUGCAAUAAGUUGACUGUUAGGGUUUUAAGUGAAGGGAUUAUGUGCUGAGGUAAUCUGACUGUAAUAUGGUUGACUGAUAAAAUGUCUAGAAUGGACUGAGGGGAAUAAUUAUUAGUUUCCUAAUGGGUAGUUACCUUGCAGGUAUCCUACGGAUCACCACCUGAUAUAUGCAUCCUUUGAUAGCACUAGACUGAUAUGUGCAUCAUUCGGGAGCACUAGACUGAUAUGUGUUUAUGCAGAACACUAGACUGAUUUAUGCGCCUCUCGGGGCGUUAGACUGAUUACGUGUUUCCUACGAGAUCACAAAAAUGUGACUGUGCAGGGUACUCCAUAGGAAGUUAAUAGUUUAUUUUUCCCCUAACAGGAUCAGUAGUGGGUCUCUUACUGGGUAUGUUUAUACUCACCCUUUCAUGUUUAACUAUUUCAGGCAAAGGUAACAAAAGAGGUAGAACGACGAGGGACAAGAAGGAGACGUGAUUGCCAUAGGGGAAUGUCCUUCAAAUGCUUCCGCUUUAUUUUUUUAUUUUUUUUUAUUUUUUUUUCUUAGUAUAUGAGGUUGUUUAAAAUUUUUGUGAUGGAACUAAGUUUACGAAUGGUCGUUUUGUAAACAGUACUUUUAAAGUUUUGGUUAUUUGAAAUAGGGCCCGACUUAAGGUUGUUUUCUUUGAUCGUAUGAUUUUAAAAGAAUUUUACUAUAUUUUGUGACAAUCAAUGUCUAUUUGUCAAAACUAACGACUUCAACUUAAUUAAAAAAGUAAACAAUUUUCGUAUCAAAUGUUUGAAAGUAACCAUUCAUAGUAAAAAACAGAACUUGUUAUCCUAGGAUUAUACACUUGCCCCACUUUGGUUUGGUCGAAUACAAAGAUUAGACCUCUCAGUUACCUUCACAUAGCAAGACGUCACAAUAAUCUCCAAAACAUUUCGUUACUAGAAUUUAAGCUAUUUAUUUUAUAAAGGCUUAAAUUCUCAUUUUCAUCUUUAAUUUGUAUCAAACCCUACAUAUUUUAAUUUAGGCUAAAAUUAUACUUUUUGAACGCUUAGCUUCAACUUAAAAGUCUUAACACCAUAAACAACCAACAUAAAUCAAUCUUAGUAGUACUUAAUUCCAUACUUUUCCAUAAAGUUUCAACUUUAGAAGGUUAAAUUCAACUAGUCAUAAGUUCUUCAAUACUUAAUAGAAAAAAUUAUGUAUUUUAUAUCAAUCUCUUCAUUUUGGAGCCCUCUACAACUUAGUUGAAGAAAUGGAAAUGAGAUUCCUCAUAGAUUAACACACAAUUCGAUCGAAACACGGUAAAGCAAACUCACGUCUAUUGCUUACUUUCAAUUUUGAUCUUGAAAUUUAACCUACUUCCCGUCAUUUUUAGUUCUCGAAUUCUUCAUGAAAGUUCACUACAACAAAAAUGGUCUACUACGACAAUUAUUUUCUGUCACGAACAAAAUCUGUGAUAGUUAUUUACAGUCAUAGUAUCGCCUGUUGUGGAAAGUCCUUCCAUGACAGUUUUUUUCCAUGACAGUUUGAAAAAACUGUCACAAUAAGUUUUUUCAUAACAGAAAAUAAAUGUUAUUAAUUACUAUUUUAUGACAACAAAUAACAGUCAUAUUUUAUUUUAGACAACAAAUAACUAUUAUCACUUGUAUAUUAACGAAAGUUACAAAAAUGUCUCGUAUUCGUUUAUUGUGACAUUUUUUUAUCACUACUACAAAAAUAGACUCUCUUGACGUUUGUAGUUUUAAUUUCUUGACGUUUUUUUUGAAAAAAACGUCAAUAAAUGGGUGAUUUCAAAGAAAAAACGUCAAUAAUUUUUAUGAAAAGACGUAGAUUUGCCAAUCUUCAACUUUCUUGACGUUUUAUCAACUGUCAAGUAUUAUUUAUUUAUCCUUGACGUUUUAAAAACGUCAAGUAACUUGACAUUUUUAAAACGUCAAGAAUGUUAUAAUUUCCAAAUUUCUUGAUAUUUUUUAAACUUCAAGUGAAAUUAUAUUCUUGACGUUUAAAAAACGUCAAGUUUUAUUAAAUAAAAAAAAGGGAAAGGCACCGUUUUCAAGAUUGUCGUGCUUUGCCCUAAAAAUCCCAAUUUCCAAAUUUCCCAAUUUCGCAUCGUCUUCUUCUUCUUCGUAAUUUCUCAAUUUCGAAUCAUCUUCUUCUUCUUCACGGCUAAGUAUUCAAAAUCUUCAUCUUCUUCUUCACGCUUGAGCUUCCGAAAUCUUCUUCUCCACGUCGUCGUUCGCCACGCUGCCGUCUCUUCACGCUUCUCCGUCUUUGAAAAGUAACCAUCGAUCCUUCACUCCUUUCGUCUUCGCCGUUCUUGACAUUGGGGAAGCCCUAUCCCUCUCUCGUUUUUGAAGACAUUCAAAAUUUGUUUUCACACUCGUUCGAAAUCACCAUUCAAAAUCACCACCGGGGAUUAAUUUCAUCUCUUCACGCCUAUCUCUUCGCACUCGAUCUCUUCAUUCUGAAAAAUCCGUUGAUUGAAGUCCUCCAAACAAACACAUUUUGUUCUCUGCCACAAACUGAAUUAGGUGCGUUGUUCUAUUAAAUUGAUGCUUUAAAACUGAUUUGGAUGCUUAUGAAAUUGUCUUGAUUUUUUUAGUUUUAUGGUUUCUUCAAGAUUGGAAUCUAUGUUUAGUGUAUGGUUGAUUAGAAUGAAGCAUAUAUAUUCUAUUCUAAAGUUAAAAUGAAGCACUGAGUUUCUGAUCCGGAAGCUUCCGUUUAAACGUUUAGUUUGUGAAAUUGCUCAGAAUUUCAAAACCGACCUGAGGUUCUAGAGCAGUGUCGUCGCGACGCUUCAGGAGGCGGCCGAAGCCUAUUUGGUUGGUCUGUUUGAGGAUACGAAUCUUUGUGCUAUUCAUGCUAAGAGGAUAACCAUUAUGCCUAAGGACAUUCAAUUGGCAAGGAGGAUUAGAGGGGAAGGGGCUUAGAGGGAUUGGCUUGAUUAUUGUGUUUUUAGUUUUUUACUUUCUAAGUGCUUUUUGUGUCUCUAGAUUUAGUCUAUGGUGUAAAUCUACUGUGUUUUGAUAUCCUGUCCCAUGAGUAUAUCGUAGGUCACAUGUAUAUGAGACUCAACAAUAUGUUUGCUAAAUGAAUUAUCUCUUUACAUUUAUUAUCUCUGUCUAAAUUUGUUGCUUUCAAAUGGUAUGUUUAAAUAUUAUUUUGUUGUUGUUCUAGUGAAGUCGUAAGUUCAAUUAUGUUUUACCCUUUCUUGGGUUCCUAUAUUUUGAUAAUCUGAAUCAAGUUUUCGUUAACAACAAUCUCUGAUGUUUCACUACAUUGGUUUGUUGGUGUAUGAAGAUUGGGACUGUUAUUGAUUGAAGCCUAAGGUUGGAUUAUUCUUGGGCUGAAACAGUCACUUGUUAGAAGGUUUCAUUGAUAUCUCUAAUGAAAGUUUUAGUUUAGAAUAUAAAAUUUUGGGAUGCCUCAUGUAUAUACCUUGAUUUUCUUGACUUCCUCAAGACUUUGAGGUAUUGCAUCGACACAUUGUUUCACCAAUCAGGUGCUUUCCUUCUGUUUCACCUACACAUAAACACAAUUUUUGCAAUUUCUGACAUGCAUAAAAAAAAGAAAAGUAGAGAAACCUCAUAAAAUACAUAGAUAGAAAGAGAAACAAAAAGUUGCAUACUGCAUUUGCAAGUGGAUACUGUGUUAGGAAGAUAGUGUAAGAAAGCUUGACUUACUCCCAAUAUAAGCAACAUCACUAGAAUAGAAUAUACAUGCUUCAUUUUAACUUUAAAAUUUUAUAUGUUUUUUUUUUUAACUUUAGAAGUUAAUUAUCAUUUUAACUUUCUAUAUCUUCUUGAUUGUGAUAAGGCACAUGGAUACCUACAUAAUAUUAUAAUGGUUUGUUUUACAGUUCUCAAACUAAUAGUACCAUAAGUUUAUUAUGCCCAUUCAUCUCAAUUGAUUAGUUUUUAAUUUUGUUUAAAACUUGUAUACUAUGCUAAUUGUUUCUUGAUUUUGAUUGAUAGCCUUUGAUUCAUACAUCACAUGGACAAUUUAACUAACAAAGAACUUGGUGUUGAUGAGUUGAAUGCAAUAUUUGGAAUUGAGGAUGAUGAACAUAUUGGUACUGAAAAUGAAACCUCAAAGCAAACAUGAGACCAUGAGGACCAACUAUUAUGUUUGAUGUAACUCGCAUUAGAAGUUUGGGAGAGAAGAAGGUGGUUGUGUGAAACUUUACAUUGGUGGCCUAUAUGACGUAAGUCAAUUUCAUUUGUUUAGAUCUAAAUAUAUGUAUCUCAUUUACGAGUUUAUAAUAUUUUGUAGGUACUUGUAUUCAUCUGUUCUUGGUUCGAAGGAAAAUGUACUGUACGUCUUUGUAGAUUCGUCCCUCACCUCUGUCGAACACUCACAAGAAUCUCGAGUUCGAAACUUAUGUAGUAGAUUGAUGCUCUCAAAAAGUAACGAAAUAGUUUUUGCUCCUUUUAAUCCUGGGUAAGUCAAGUUAUUUUAUUAGUUGCAUUGCAAAAAACUAGUACUAAUAUUUUGUAGUAUUAGGGGUCAUUGGGCACUGCUGGCCAUAUGCGUAUGAUGGUACAAUAUUCUACCUUGACUCACUAAGGACAACAUCGAAGUCAACUACAAGAUAUAUAACCAACACAUAAGUUAAUCUUCUAUAUCAUUUAGUGAAGAUUCUUAUAUGCAUGUACAAUAUUUAAAAAUUCGUUCAGUCUUAUAUCUUGUCAAAACAGAGCAAUAGCGAUGUUUCAGUCACAAAAGGACAUUAAGAAAAGUAGAAAACAAACUUUAUGGCGAACAGUAAAGGCAAGUACAAACAUUUAAAGUCAUUAUAUUUUGUAGACUACUAGCAAUUAGGAUUACUUCGUUAUUCAAAUUUGUUGAUUUUAUAUAGUGUCCUCUACAAGUCGAGAGUACUGAGUGUGGAUACUACGUCAUGAGGUAUAGGAGAGAAAUUGUGACUAGGGGAAGCAUUGUCAUAUCUGAUGCGGUAUAUAUCAAACAAUUUCUUUUAUGAGUCAAUUGGUUUAUUUGUAUAGUGAGUCAAUUCAUUUAAUUUAUUUUGCAUGUUUAUAGAUUGAUACACGAAGAUCACACUCACAGGCAGAACUAGAUGAGGUAUGAGUUGAGUUAGCUGACUUUCUGGGUUCGUACAUAUGAUUGUGACCAAUAAUUUGUGAUUCUGAAGUAGGAAUUUUUUGUUGUGGCGCUGCUUAUGAUCUGAAACUUUAUGUAUAGAAACUUUAGGUGAUAAUUCUUUUGAAUUGUUCAUAUGGGGGAGGAGGGGGGUUGAUUGGUAUACUUUUUAUUAGAUUUAUUAUAGCUAUCCUCUUUUGUGACUCUCUAAGUUGAGUUGGAUUCAUGGCAAUCUAAUGAAAUAUUCAUAUCUAUGUAUAGUCAUGAAAUAUUCAUAUCCAUGUAAAGUCUUCGAAUUGAUUGUAUAUGAUAUAUGGAGAAUGGUUUUAUAUAUUCAUAUAUGUUCGAGUUUUGAAACUAUAUUCGAUGAAUACCGUUGAUCAUAUAUAUAUGUAUAUAUUUAUGAAACUGUUGCUGGACAACUGUACAAAACUAUUAGAUCAGCACAAUACACGAAAAAAAAUAUAAUUCAAUUACAAUUUUUUUUAAAAAAAUUGAAACAUGCUUGACGGUUUUAAAAUGUCAUAAACAAUUGCAUUCUUGACGGUUUUAAAAUGUCAUAAACAAGGUCGUUCUUGACAGGUUUAAAAUGUCAUAAACAAGUUAAUUCUUGACGGUUUUUAAAUGUCAUGAAAAUAUGUAUAUUUGACGUUUAUAAAACAUCAACGUUCUCCAUUCUUGACGUUUUAUAAACUGUCAAGAACUUUUGCUUUCUUGACACUGGCUUCAACGACGUUUUAAAACCGUCAAGAAUAGGGUCUCUUGACAGUUUUGAAAACGUCAAGAGAGCCUGUUUUUGUAGUAGUGUAUAUUUCAAGGAUAUGUCAAUCGUGAUAGUUUUUAUAAAAAUAAAUAUCAUCUUUUUUAUGUUGACGAUAGUUACAAUAAUGUAACGAAUUCGUAUAUUAAUUAGGACAUUUUUUCCUUGUCGAGGAUCGGCUUUUAUAAAAUUAAAUUGUCAUUAUUUUGAUAUUGGCGACAGUAACAAAAUGUCACAAAUUCGUAUAUUAUGACAUUUUUUCCUUGUCAAGAAAAGUUAGAUUAAGCUUAUAAACACUACUUUCACUAUGUGUAAUUCACCAACUUUUUUUAAUAAAGAAAACGUUUUCAAAAGGACAAAAACCAUGUCAAAAGUUAGAAAGCUAAAUAGUUAGUUUUUACAAACUUCAUUUGUUUUUUUUUUUUUUUUUAAUAUGGCUUAGGAAUCAAAUGUAUUUUCAAGGAAGGUGAAAAGUUCACCAAAAGUUGUGAGAAAAUAAGAACAAAAGGUUAUCAAACAAAUCUUAAAUAAGGUACGUAAUUUCAAUAUUAAAUAUCUCAAGUUUUCAUUGUCAAUUUCAAUGGUUGCACACCGUAAACUAAUUCACAAUAAUCCUUAUUUCACUUCACACAAACAACUUUAUUUGGAUACUACUCAAUAAAGCUGGUGUUAGAUUCAAUUUCCUAUUUCAAUGAAGUCAAGUUUCAAAUUUUUGAGCAAUAUAAAUACUGAGAUCAAAAUAAAAAACAAAAAAGAUUGUCUUUUAAUUCACAUAUGCCACUAAAUGUCCCCUUAUACAUACCAUUUUCAUCCUGAGUUGAAAUCUGUGUCUUGAAAUGCAACUGAAAAAACUGGAUUUCCACCACCAGUUUUACCGGUUCAUGAUUAGAUUUUAUGUAUGGUUAUAAUUCUUCGUUCUGAUGAAAUGGCUUCUGCUGGCAAUCCAACAUGACUCACUAAAGUAUUCAUUAUAUCUUGGACUCUCUCAGCCAUACCCACCCAUCCAUGUGUUCAAUAACCAAGGAAAGAUUUGACAUGUAUCUAUCAUCUUAUCUCAGAAAAUAUGCAAUUUAUGUUCAUUAUCUUAUAAGAUAUUUAACUAUUGAAGAGAAGAACUUACGUGAAGAUUUUCCAUGAGGCAUUGUUGUAAUCAUUCUCGAGUCUAAUGUUCAAGCCACCAUUACCAGUAUCAUGUCUUCAGCAAAGAUAUAGAACAGUAACUGACCAGAGUAGUCCUUGCACAAUAAUAGAGAAUAUAACUCCACAAUCAUAGUAAACAAAACACAAGAAUUAAAUAAUAAUGAUCCACAUUUUUUAAUUAACAUACUUGAAUGCUAUUUCAACUUAAUUGCUCAACAUAAAACAAAUCAAUAUGGACAAAAAAAAAAUUAACAAAAACAAGAAACGAACUCCUUUGAAAUAUGAGAAGGCAGCAAAGACAUGGAAACAGUCAAAACUUGGAUUUUAGUGCAACACGUUCAGUUCACCAUUUCCCAUUUUCUUCUUUACUAUGUUUGCUCGUUUCUUGGAAAUUUUGAUUUCUUCCUUUCAAACUCCACCAUUUCUUAAUCCUUAAAAUCGUUGUCAAACUGUUAUAGGUCACACUACCAAACUUUUUAGAGAUUAAUAAAUAUACAGUUCAGUUCAAAUUUGGGUUCUAGCAUUUUCUUUCACCAAAGACCCAACAUUGAAGUUAUAAAUCUGGGUUGAUAGUUCAAAUAGAUCUGAAAAUUGAAUCAUGAAAUGCUAGUGGGUAAAUACAAAACUCAGGGCAGGAAGUUUCUAAUAAUUUACACUAGAAUUGGACAAAUAAGCUAACAAUAAUAACAAACCAUUAUUUAGACUGCAUGAGUUGGAGUCAAAUCCUUGCACUAGCAAUUUGUGCAAUUAAAGCAAAUGGGUUGGAUUCUAAAAGUCCAUUUCCAAUUCAAUAGUCAAAAUAUGCUUAAAACAAAUUGUAUAAAACAAAGCCACAGUCCAGAUCUCUCAGGAAUUUUCACAAACACCUUCCAUACGCAAAUAUUUUUGCACUAAAUUACUCUUGUUACAUUUAUGUAUUACUCUUGCUAAAAAGUAUUUUUAGUAAAAUAUAAAAUAAAACAUAAAAUGUUUUACUUCUACCUUUUUCUUCUCCCACAAAGUGAAAGAAGCAAAAAAGAAACAAAAAACAAACAAACAAAAAAAAACCACCAAAAUUUCAAUAAUAAAAAAUGAAGAGAACAUUUUAUUCUCUUCUCAACGUUAAUAGAUAAACAAACAAUUUUCAAAAGAACUUGUAAUUAAAAAUCAAAAUAAAAUGGAAAAAGUUAAAAUAAGAAAGAGUCUCGAGUACAUAAAAGUAAGUACUUGCCUUCAUAUAGCGAAGAAGUCGAAAUGCCAAAAGUUAAUUAAUUUAAGAGUGUAAAGACAAAAAUAAAGCAAAAUUAACAUCAAUGACAAAAAGUAAGUAUUCUAAAAGUACUAAAAUAGAGAGAUUGAAGCAAAAUUUGAAGUUAAAGAAAUUCAAUUAGACCCCACAAAUUGAUAAAUAAAGGUCUACUGUGUCUACUACCAUCAACAAAUACUUACCUUUAGGCUCCUCCUAAGUUAGAGUUAGAGAAGUCUUUCUCAACUAAGGAUGAAGUUAUUAGGCUCCGCUAAACACCAAAGAACAAUCUUCUCAUGAAAAAAUGCAUAGCAGAAAAACCAACAAAACACAUCACCAAAUAGUAUUAUAUAAAAUUAAGACAAGGGGCGGUGCCAUAUAAUAAAAGAAUAUAUCCUAAAUCAAAAUUUCCUUAAAUAAACAUCUCAUAAACCUAAACACAUGAAGGACAUUUUCAGGACCUUCUCCCUUUUUUUCUUACUCUCUUUCAGCUUCAAGUCUUAAUAUUUUUUGGUCUAAUUUAAGUUAAAGAUAAACCCAACAUUUAUUUCACAUACAUCACGUAGGGGUGUUUGCCCAAAAGAGGAAAUUCAAACGAAGUCAAAAAUUUCAGACCUUACGGACGACUCAUGGAGUUAAGGGAAGUAGUGACAAGAGAACAACUUUGCAAAGAGAGAGAAAGAGAAAAGGAACAAUUGACUUACCGACAGAGGAGGUGACGAUCGUAGUUUGAAUGUUGAAGAGAUUGCGGCGGAUUGGAGAUGACAGGCAUGGAUUAAACAGGUUACCAUAGAGGAGGUUUGUCGUUCGAUAGAGGAGGUUGCGAUAGUACUAGAGUGAGAAGACGGGAAUGAGAGGGCUGUGGUGGUGACGGGAACGGGUGUCGUCCAAAGAUGGUCUUCUUCGCGUUUUGAGAUGGCUUAUCUGCGAGAGGAAUGAGGGUUUUUAAUUUGGGGAAAUUUUUAUUUGCGGGAAAAGCCAUAAAACCCUUUACUUUUCAUUUAAAUUGAAUUGAAUUUUAAUAAAUUAAAUAAAUUAUUUGAUGUAUCUUCUACGACAGGAAAUAAUUUUCGCAAAAAAUACUAUCUGAAAAAUUCCGCAUUUUCCCAUAAAUGACAGGUAUUUUUACCCUAUGUGACAGUUUUUUCUCCUCCCUUCCAUUUUCUAAUGUAAACAACUGUCGUAGUAGAUAGUUUUUGUUGUAGUGAUUGUAGGAAAAUUAACAAGCUUUCUAACCAUACCAAAUAGAGCUUUUAGUUCCACCUAUACAUUAUUGGAUACUCGAAAAACCAGAGGCUUUUUGGAAUUACGUGAAAAGUCUAUGAUCUACUUUCUACUUCAAAAAUCAUUCACUUAGCCUCAUAAUUUGCUCAAAAUUUAUUCAUGAAACUUGUUAGAAAUCAUUCACUAACGGUAUGACUUGGUUCCUUAGCACCUGCUCUUUCUUAUGAAGAAUUUGUGUUGGCUCCUCUUUGUAAGACAAGUUCUCUUUCAAAUGAACUGGUUGUGUUUCAAGAAUAUGAGAUGGAUCAGAAACGUACUUACGCUACAUCGCACAUGAAACACAUCACAAAUACUCGAAAGUUCCAUAGGCAAUGCCAAAUUGUACGUCGCAAGCUCAAUAUGUUCUAAUAUCUCACAAGGUCCAAUAAAUCUUGCACUCAGCUUGUCUUUUCUGCCAGAAUGAAGCUCACCCUUCCAAGGAGAUAGCUUUAGAAAGACUUUGUCACCAACCUCAAAUUUCAAGUCUCUCCAUCGCUUAUCUGUAUAACUCUUUUGACAAUCUUGUGUUGUUUUCAACUUUUUUCUACUAAUCACAUUUUCUGACUUUCUUUCCCCAACUUCAUCCCAACACAUGGGGGUUCUACAACGUCUACCAUACAAAGCCUCAUAAGGUGUCAUUCCAAUACUUGAAUGGAAACUAUUAUUAUAUGCAAAUCUCAUUAAUGACAAAUGAGCAUCCCAAUUACCUUUGAACUGAAAAUCAAAAGCUUGAAGCAUAUCUUCCAAGGUCUGAAGGUUAUUUCUUAUUGAAAAUCUGUCAGAGGAUGAAAUAUGGUACUGAAAUGUAAAUUGGUGCCCAUUACUUCUUGCAAACUCAGCCAAAACUUUAGGGUAAACCUUCAAUCUAUAUCAGACACAAUAGAUACGGGAGCUCCAUACGCACUUACAAUCUUAUUAAUGUUCAAUUUGGCCAGCCUAUCGAAGGUGAAAGUGACCUUCACUAGUCAAAAUCUUGCUAUCUUUGUAAGUCUGUCAACUAUCACCCAAAUGCCAUCAAACCCACUCGAUGUGCGAGGAAGUUCAAAUAAAAAGUCCAUGGCAACAUGUUUCCAUUUCCAUUCCAGCAUUAGAAGUGGGUUUAAAAGUUCUGCUGCUAUAUGUCAUUCAGGUUUAACUUAUUGAUAGAUUAAACACUUAGCUACAUAUUCUGCAGUUUCACGCUUCAUACCAGGCCACCAAUAGUGCUUCUUUAAAGUUCUAUACAUCUUUGUAUUGCCAGAAUGAAUUGCAUAUGCAUAACUAUAUGCUUCCUCUAAAAUUUAAUCUUUUAUGCCUUGGUUUCUAGGGACACACAACCUAUCAUAUUUCAUUAAGGCACCAUCACCCCUCAAACUAUAGUUCGUUCCUUGGUUCAAUUUUACCUCUUUUGCUAACUUUCUUAGCAUUAUAUCUUCUAGUCUAAAAAAUGAUGGGGCAAUUUGCGAUUAGUAAAAAACUUCUCAUUCAACAACACAAUUUAAAAUUAUAUAACAACCUAAUUAAGUUAGAUAAAAUAUAUCCCAAUAGUAAUUUGGUUAAUAAAUUUCAUUUUUUCAAUAUCAAUAGAAGAUGAAAGAUUCAAGACAUAAACCUACGAGCGAUAAAACUUACUUCUUUUUUGAGUUAUGCUUGUUUCGAUGGUUUUAAGACAACCAUCAAUAAUUAAUUCAUACAAUUUUUUUUUCUUUUUCCUUUCUUCCUUUCUUUUGUUUUGUUUUUUUUUUUUUUGAUUAAAAGUUCCCAAAAAUCUACUUUUUACUUUUAAAAUUGUUUUUAGUACAAAUUGGAGAGGCGGAGCAAUUGGACCAUGAAAUUUUUAGUUCUCAAAAUGCACUGAUACCCAUUGACAUAAACUGUUAUAACUACCAUCAUUAACUAAGAUUUUGUUUUUUUUUUUACAGAAGGUUAUUGUUGGAAGAUUUAUGGUAAUACGAGCAUAUGAAAUUAUUUUUUUCACAGAUAGCUUCUUUUUGUUAUUCUCAUUUAAUUUCUCUAAGUAGUAAUUAAAUUCUCUUAAGCACGAUAUUGGAUGUUUUUUAGAUGAAAGUUAAGAUUGUUGAGUUUUAGGCAUUAAAAUGGACCAUUAAAACUGCUUGGGUAUAACUUUAUCAAUUUCAAUUUUAUUGAGUUGCGUACCGAGUAUGAUUAAACUAUAAUUCUUGUUUUGGCCAACAAAGCCAUCUUAUAUAAACCCUUCGUUCCUCCAUCCAUUUCCACAAGAUUAAUCUUCUAUUCUCCAUUUUCUAGUGACCAAUAUGGAGAAAACACAAACAAUUUAUCUUCUUUUUCUAUCGCUUUUGUCCAUAGCCACAAUGUCACAUUGUCGUGGUACAUAUACAAGAAUAUUAUUUUCCGUUUGUAUAUAUAUACAUAUACAUAUAUCACGUAUGCAUGUAUUCUAAUUCUUUGUUUGUGUAUUUACAGUGUUGCUUCAUGUUGACCCACAAUCUGAUGUUGGCGGACCUCAAAUGCGUCAUUCCACCCCCUCCGCCACACCAUCAUCUUGAUUCAGACGUUGGUGGACCACAGAUGGUCAUUCCACCACCUCCACCACACCAUCAUCUUGAUUCCGAUGUUGGCGGCCCUCAAAUGGUUAUCCCUCCUCCUCCACCGCACAAGCUUCCACAAUCCGAUGUUGGUGGCCCUCAAUUGGUCAUUCCACCCCCUCCACAACACCAUCAUCUUAAUUCGGACGUUGGUGGCCCUCAAAUGGUCAUCCCACCACCUCCUCCUCACAACACAUCCACUAAUUCUGGAUGUUGGCGGUCCUCAAAUGGUCAUUCCACCCCCUCCUCCACCUCAUCACAUUUACCUUUAAAAUCGAACAUCGUUGAUGAUCCCCCAAUGGUCAUCCCACCGCCUCCCCCUCCAUAUGUUCCAUCCACAAAGUAAUGUUUAGUGAUAUUAUAAGGAUAAUCCCCUACCUCCUCUAUAAAGCAAAUUUUAUUCCAUCAAAUUCGAUCACAACUUUAUAUGUGUGAUUCAUUUCUUGUCACUUCCCUCGAAGUAUUG
rnacentral:lncRNA from 1 species